rnacentral:misc_RNA from 1 species
UGGUCUUACAACUGGUGCCCUGGCGAUUACAGUGGCGAAUCCAACUGACUUGGUGAAGGUGCGACUUCAGGCUGAAGGGAAACUUGCACCUGGUGUCCCUAGACGUUAUUCAGGAGCUAUGAAUGCUUAUUCGACAAUUUUCAGACAGGAAGGACUUGGGGCUCUUUGGACUGGGCUCGGCCCAAAUGUUGCACGUAAUGCUAUUAUAAAUGCUGCUGA